AUGGUAGUCCGUGUGUUAAGGAUGGACGACGGUCCAAAAAUGCGGUGGUUGAGCUACGUAGAUCUGGAAAGGCGGUCGUCAGAAUCUGGAGGGACCGCCGGCGAUGUUGGUUCAUUGGAGGUGAAUGGAGCUAAGUCCGCCGUCGUCGGGGAUGGCUGGAGCAAAAGCGCGGAAUCGAUCGGUUUGACGGGUUUGUUUGGGAUUAAAUGA